GGAAGAGUAGCAAAGUUGGUCAAUGCGCUGGAUUGAAAAUCCAGAGAUAAAGGUUCGAAUCCUUUCUGUUCCA
rnacentral:tRNA from 1 species